GUUGUAUGGUUAAGUGACUAAGCGUACACGGUGGAUGCCUGGGCAGUCAGAGGCGAUGAAGGACGUACUAACUUGCGAUAAGCGCAGAUAAGGCAGUAAGAGCCGUUUGAGUCUGCGAUUUCCGAAUGGGGAAACCCAACUGCAUAAGCAGUUACUGUUAACUCAAUACAUAGGUUAACAGAGCAAACCGGGGGAACUGAAACAUCUAAGUACCCCGAGGAGAAGAAAUCAACCGAGAUUCCGGUAGUAGCGGCGAGCGAACCUGGAUUAGCCCUUAAGCACUCGGUGAAGUAGGUGAACAAGCUGGAAAGCUUGGCGAUACAGGGUGAUAGCCCCGUAACCGACGCUUCAUCGAGCGUGAAAUCGAGUAGGGCGGGACACGUGAUAUCCUGUCUGAAUAUGGGGGGACCAUCCUCCAAGGCUAAAUACUCCUGACUGACCGAUAGUGAACCAGUACCGUGAGGGAAAGGCGAAAAGAACCCCUGUGAGGGGAGUGAAAUAGAACCUGAAACCGUGUACGUACAAGCAGUAGGAGCACCUUCGUGGUGUGACUGCGUACCUUUUGUAUAAUGGGUCAGCGACUUAUAUUCAGUGGCAAGGUUAACCGUAUAGGGGAGCCGUAGCGAAAGCGAGUCUUAACUGGGCGCUCAGUCUCUGGAUAUAGACCCGAAACCGGGUGAUCUAGCCAUGGGCAGGUUGAAGGUUGAGUAACAUCAACUGGAGGACCGAACCGACUAAUGUUGAAAAAUUAGCGGAUGACUUGUGGCUAGGGGUGAAAGGCCAAUCAAACUCGGAGAUAGCUGGUUCUCCCCGAAAGCUAUUUAGGUAGCGCCUCGGACGAAUACUACUGGGGGUAGAGCACUGUUAAGGCUAGGGGGUCAUCCCGACUUACCAACCCUUUGCAAACUCCGAAUACCAGUAAGUACUAUCCGGGAGACACACGGCGGGUGCUAACGUCCGUCGUGGAGAGGGAAACAACCCAGACCGCCAGCUAAGGUCCCAAAGUAUUGCUAAGUGGGAAACGAUGUGGGAAGGCUCAGACAGCUAGGAUGUUGGCUUAGAAGCAGCCAUCAUUUAAAGAAAGCGUAAUAGCUCACUAGUCGAGUCGGCCUGCGCGGAAGAUGUAACGGGGCUAAGCAAUACACCGAAGCUGCGGCAAUGUCUUUUAGACAUUGGGUAGGGGAGCGUUCUGUAAGCCGUUGAAGGUGAAUCGUAAGGUUUGCUGGAGGUAUCAGAAGUGCGAAUGCUGACAUGAGUAACGACAAAGGGGGUGAAAAACCUCCUCGCCGGAAGACCAAGGGUUCCUGUCCAACGUUAAUCGGGGCAGGGUGAGUCGACCCCUAAGGUGAGGCCGAAAGGCGUAAUCGAUGGGAAACGGGUUAAUAUUCCCGUACUUCUGACUAUUGCGAUGGGGGGACGGAGAAGGCUAGGUGGGCCAGGCGACGGUUGUCCUGGUUCAAGUGCGUAGGCUUGAGAGUUAGGUAAAUCCGGCUCUCUUUAAGGCUGAGACACGACGUCGAGCUACUACGGUAGUGAAGUCAUUGAUGCCAUGCUUCCAGGAAAAGCCUCUAAGCUUCAGAUAGUCAGGAAUCGUACCCCAAACCGACACAGGUGGUCGGGUAGAGAAUACCAAGGCGCUUGAGAGAACUCGGGUGAAGGAACUAGGCAAAAUGGUACCGUAACUUCGGGAGAAGGUACGCUCUUGAUGGUGAAGUCCCUCGCGGAUGGAGCUGACGAGAGUCGCAGAUACCAGGUGGCUGCAACUGUUUAUUAAAAACACAGCACUGUGCAAAAUCGCAAGAUGACGUAUACGGUGUGACGCCUGCCCGGUGCCGGAA
rnacentral:rRNA from 1 species